rnacentral:rRNA from 1 species
CUACGGGUUGCUGCAGUGGGGAAUAUUGCACAAUGGGGGGAACCCUGAUGCAGCAACGCCGCGUGGAGGAUGACACAUUUCGGUGCGUAAACUCCUUUUAUAUGUCAAGAUAAUGACGGUAGCAUAUGAAUAAGCUCCGGCUAACUCCGUGCCAGCAGCCGCGGUAAUACGGGGGGAGCAAGCGUUACUCGGAAUCACUGGGCGUAAAGAGCAUGUAGGCGGGUAAAAAAGUUAGAAGUGAAAUCCUAUGGCUUAACCAUAGAACUGCUUCUAAAACUCUUUACCUAGAAUAUGGGAGAGGUAGAUGGAAUUUCUGGUGUAGGGGUAAAAUCCGUAGAGAUCAGAAGGAAUACCGAUUGCGAAGGCGAUCUACUGGAACAUAAUUGACGCUCAGAUGCGAAAGCGUGGGGAGCAAACAGGAUUAGAUACCCUUGUAGUC